rnacentral:rRNA from 1 species
CCUACGGGGGGCUGCAGUGGGGAAUAUUGGACAAUGGGCGAAAGCCUGAUCCAGCCAUGCCGCGUGUGUGAAGAAGGCCUUCGGGUUGUAAAGCACUUUCAGUGGGGAAGAAAGCCUUGGGGCUAAUACCCUCGAGGAAGGACAUCACCCACAGAAGAAGCACCGGCUAACUCCGUGCCAGCAGCCGCGGUAAUACGGAGGGUGCGAGCGUUAAUCGGAAUUACUGGGCGUAAAGCGCGCGUAGGCGGUCUGAUAAGCCGGUUGUGAAAGCCCCGGGCUCAACCUGGGAACGGCAUCCGGAACUGUCAGGCUAGAGUGCAGGAGAGGAAGGUAGAAUUCCCGGUGUAGCGGUGAACUGCGUAGAGAUCGGGAGGAAUACCAGUGGCGAAGGCGGCCUUCUGGACUGACACUGACGCUGAGGUGCGAAAGCGUGGGUAGCAAACAGGAUUAGAUACCCCAGUAGUC